GUUGGCUAUAGCUACCAUGUCAUGUAGAGUCUUAAUAUGUGGUUUCAAUGGGUUAAUAGUCAUGUGAGUGGUUCCUACCCAGUCUGGUGAGGUAAGCAUGUCUUGCAGAUAAAAUGUCCCCAGUUUAUUAUAUGAGCCGCCUCCCCUCCAGUACAUUCCCAUUACAUAUUCCCCCGCAUCCUUUGGGCUAGGGUGCUCUAUGUUUAAGGUAAGUUUGAUAGGAGUCGACCUAAUAGGUUUACUUAAGGUUAUUCUGGAGAGUCAAGGUUUUCCGUCUUUGUCUAUUCUGUCUAAUGCACUCUGGGGUCUAUAGCCCCAUGGUCUACCCGUGUUCCACCCAGCUGCUUUCCAUGAACUACAAUGAUGCCCCCAGGUCCCUCCAGUCACGCAAAUGUAU